GGCGUCCGAGUUGUAAUUUGUAGAGGAUGCUAUUGGGUUGCCACCGGUCUAAGUUCCUUGGAACAGGACGUCACAGAGGGUGAGAAUCCCGUAUGUGACCGGCCAGGCGCUCUCUGUAUAGCUCCUUCGACGAGUCGGGUUGUUUGGGAAUGCAGCCCUAAAUGGGAGGUAAAUUUCUUCUAAAGCUAAAUACCGGCCAGAGACCGAUAGCGCACAAGUAGAGUGAUCGAAAGAUGAAAAGCACUUUGGAAAGAGAGUUAAAAAGCACGUGAAAUUGUUGAAAGGGAAGCGCUUGCCAUCAGUCUCGACGGCGGCUGUUCGGCCUCUCUUCUGAGUGGUUUAUUCAGUCGCCGCCGGGCCAGCAUCAGUUUCGGCGGCCGGAUAAAGGCGUGGGGAAUGUAGCUCCCUCGGGAGUGUUAUAGCCCCGCGUGCAAUACGGCCCGCCGGGACUGAGGUCCGCGCUCCGGCUAGGAUGCUGGCGAAAUGGUUGUAAGCGGCCCGUCUUGAAACACGGACCAAGGAGUCUAACAUCUACGCGAGUGUUUGGGUGUCAAACCCGUGCGCGCAAUGAAAGUGAACGGAGGUGGGAACCGCAAGGUGCACCAUCGACCGAUCCUGAUGUCUUCGGAUGGAUUUGAGUAAGAGCGUAGCUGUUGGGACCCGAAAGAUGGUGAACUAUGCCUGAAUAGGGUGAAGCCAGAGGAAACUCUGGUGGAGGCUCGCAGCGGUUCUGACG
rnacentral:rRNA from 1 species